rnacentral:tRNA from 1 species
GGCGCGGUGGUGAAGUAGCUAACACAGCUGUCUGCAGAACAGCCAUUCGUGGGUGCAAGUCCCACCCGCGCCU